rnacentral:rRNA from 1 species
UGGGCGCUGGAGAACUGAGGGGGGCUGCUCCUAGUACGAGAGGACCGGAGUGGACGCAUCACUGGUGUUCGGGUUGUCAUGCCAAUGGCACUGCCCGGUAGCUAAAUGCGGAAGAGAUAAGUGCUGAAAGCAUCUAAGCACGAAACUUGCCCCGAGAUGAGUUCUCCCUGAGACUUAGAGUCUCCUGAAGGAACGUUGAAGACGACGACGUUGAUAGGCCGGGUGUGUAAGCGCAGCGAUGCGUUGAGCUAACCGGUACUAAUGAACCGUGAGGCUUAACCUU